AAACAACAACAAGGGCUCCACCGUACGCUAGGUAGCAGGCAACACCAUAUCUUUAUCGAGUGGCACCUCCUCCGCUUCCGCUCCCAACCCUCCUUCUCCUGCCAAAGAUCAUCACUUCAUCCUGUCUUCCGCUGCUUGGCUCUCUUACCGUGCCCGUGUGCGACCCUCCCUGAGUGGCUCGGCCAAACUGGGAAGGCAGCGGUCACUCAGCGCUAUACGGCGUCACACCCACUCUCUGGCACAGCUCCUGGCACACCACUGUCGAUGGCUCAGCGUGGGCCUCCAUGCCAGUCCCAGCCGUCUUUAUUUCACGCCGGUGCUGUCCCCCGUUCUGACGCGGCUUCCAGCGCCUUUGUUUAGUCGCCUCUUUUGUUUCUCGUGUCUCUCGGUCUUUUUUUUUGUUUUGUUGCCGAGGGGGGAUCCUGUGGGGGCGCUGACGUGGCCGUCUGUCCACCAACUUCGGUGUGUGCUGUGCGUCUUCUCUUUUUUUUUUUCGACGAUCCUCUUGCUUAUCUAUAUCUAUAUUUGGGCUCUGUGAUAAACAUAUAACGAACUUCUACGCCAAUGAUGUCGACAACGAUCAGCAGCGUCGUGUCUAGCUCUUCGGCUGCAAGCAGCGCGCCGCUCGAUCACCGAUCGUUCACCUCGUGCUACACCGUGACGAAGCAUUCGUGGAGAGGCAAGUACACGCGAAUCUUCUGCGUAGGUCCACAGGGCAUCGCCACGUGCGACGUGCGGUCACUGACAAAACUGACGAACUACUGGCCCUAUACCUCGAGCGUGCGCAGCAUUCUUGCCGAGGGCGUCGGCAAUGGCCACUUCCUGCUCAUCACCCAAAGCAACGGCAGCAGGGCAGAGGAGCUACGCUUCUCGUGCGGAACGGACACAGAGCGGGCGCAGCUUCUGACGGAUGUGAACCGGUACAGACUGUGGUUCGACUGCAACUACCGUGCCUCACUAGCGGUGCAGGUAUAUGGAGCAAUGAAGUACACCAUCAAUGAGAUGCUUCGACCAUGCACUCUACGAGUGACAGCCACUGGCGUUGAGCAACUGUGCCGUAUCGGAGACAAUACGGGUGCCAACGCGCCUGCUGACGGUGGCGCCUCUGCAAGCUCGCAAGUGUCGGCAUCGCCGACAGCCGCCAAGCACGGGACGAGCGCACCGCCAGAGUAUGAGAAGGUCGGCGAGUAUCUGUUUUCCAGUAUCCGGGGCAUCACCACGAUUGCAGACCGACCGGGCAGCAUCGUCAUCGCGUAUGGGACGGAGAUGAAAAUGCACCUCUACGACGUCGCUAAUGUGAAGCUGCUGAUCGAGUCGAUCUACCGGAACGCGACGGAGUACAUUGGGCUGCCGCGAUAUCGUGAGAUGAACGUCUUGCAGCAGAGCGUGUUCGACUCCGAACGCCUCGGCAUCCGUCGUGACUCGCUCGAGGCCGUGGAAGAAUUCAGCGUCCUAAAGCACUCCCCAAAACAGCGCGACGGCGCGGUGCGUCGGUUGUUGAGCACCACGCAGAUCGCCAUUGUCGAGCGCGACCCCGUGACCUACAACCCGAUUAGUGCACACUUUCUGCACUCCAUCUUUGCACUCGUGCGUUGCGAGGACGACGAUCAGCGCUUCUUAAUCCUCUUCAAGGAUUCGCCUGUCAUGAAGUCGUACCAAUCACCCGCUCGCGACACGAUUCUGGCGCAUGUGCUCACAGCGUGCUACAGCGCCGGUGACGGAAAUGUGUGUGUCAUGGCGCGGCCACUGCUGCGCCGCAACCGACUCUCCUCUCUUGACACCCCCGUCACCGAGGAAGUGGAGAGCCUGCUACUGAAAGGGCUCGUCGAAGGCCGUCUUGCUGGCUCCUCGGUCGCAGUCGACACGGCGGGCUCGACAGAGGACGGCGUGAGAGCUGGCCUCAUGGCGUCGCUGGAGCUCUUCAACGCCAACGUCCCGAGAACAGGGCUCACGUGGAGCGAGAACAGGGACGGACUGUUCUCAGAGAAUCGCGAGAAGCUCAUCUUCAACGCCGUGGAAGCGGUGCUGAAGCACUUUACGUGGGUGAAGCCGUCUGCUAGUGAUGCGAAUGAGGGCAGCAGCAGCGGCAGCAGCGGUAGCAGCGGCGUGACGCUCGACGCGGUGAAUCAACACUUCAUUGUAGAACAGUUUCAGGCGCUGGGUCGCCUCUCCGUGUCGAGAGUGGGGUUCAGCUCUAUUGCACUGGUUCCAUCGCUGUUCAAGUCUGUCGGCGUCUACUCGGUGCAGGCGCUCCGACUCAACAACCUGGCCGUCUCGUUUGCCGUGAUCGAGUUCCUGAACACGCUCAUGACCCCGUUCCACAACCACUACGAGAUCGAGCACGAGUCCAUGAACAAGAACCGACUACUGAGCGCCGAGGGCUUCAUUCGAAGCCUGAUGGAGGUGCUUCGCGAUCAUAUCCCCAACGAGAGCGCGUCGCUGCUAGUGUUGGAGCUGCUCUUCUUCUUCGAGUUCGCGCUCUGCCCACCGUACAGCAACA
rnacentral:misc_RNA from 1 species